rnacentral:rRNA from 1 species
UACGGGGGGGGCAAGCGUUGUUCGGAAUUACUGGGCGUAAAGGGCGCGUAGGCGGCCUGCUAAGUCGGACGUGAAAUCCCUCGGCUCAACCGGGGAACUGCGUCCGAUACUGGCGAGGCUUGAAUCCGGGAGAGGGAUGCGGAAUUCCAGGUGUAGCGGUGAAAUGCGUAGAUAUCUGGAGGAACACCGGUGGCGAAGGCGGCAUUCUGGACUACAACUGACACUGAGGAACGAAAGCCAGGGGAGCAAACGGG